rnacentral:rRNA from 1 species
UACAGAGGGUGCAAGCGUUGUUCGGAAUUAUUGGGCGUAAAGCGCGUGUAGGCGGCUUUGCAAGUCGGGUGUGAAAGCCCUCGGCUCAACCGAGGAAGUGCGCCCGAAACUGCAGGGCUUGAGUACCGGAGAGGAUGGCGGAAUUCCCCAAGUAGAGGCGAAAUUCGUAGAUAUGGGGAGGAACACCGGUGGCGAAGGCGGCCAUCUGGACGGAUACUGACGCUGAGACGCGAAAGCGUGGGUAGCAAACAGG